rnacentral:rRNA from 1 species
GGAUCAUUACCGAAUUGUUGACCGAGUUGUUGCUGGUCCUCAAAUGGGGGCAUGUGCACGCUCUGUUUACACAUCCACUCUCACCUGUGCACCCUCCGUAUUUCUGCAACCUGGGGGCUCUGGCCCCCCUGCUGUGGUCCUAUGUAUUUACACACACGCUGUAAUAAAGUCUCAUGGAAUGUAUGCCGCGUUAACGCAAUACAAUACAACUUUCAACAACAGAUCUCUUGGCUCUCGCAUCAAUUAAUAACGCACCGAACUGCGAUAAAUAAUGUGAAUUGCAAAAUUCAAUGAAUCAUCGAAUCUUUGAACGCACCUUGCGCCCUUUGGCUAUUCCUAAGGGCAUGCCUGUUUGAGUAUCAAGAACAGCUCAACUCUCAUGGCUUGCCAUGAUGAUCUUGGACUUAUGGGGGUCUUGCUGGCCUAUGGUCGGCUCCUCUCAAAUGAAUCACCUUGCCCGUGUUUGGUGGCGUCACAUGUGUGAUAACUAUCUACGCUUGUGGUUUCCCGCCAGGUAACCUUCAUCAAUGGAGAUUCGCUGGGGCUCAUAAAAGUCUCUCCUCGGUGAGGACAGCUCUUUGAACGUUUGAUCUCAAAUCAGGUAGGACUACCCGCUGAACUUAA